rnacentral:lncRNA from 1 species
UCUAUACCAGUAAUGUUUUGGAACCAACUAUAUACCAGGCCAGUUCACCCUUGAUACUGUGUCCAAAUCCAUCUCCCCACUUCUCCAUGCUGGGAAACAGUGAGCAGUCUGAAGAAGCUAAAUCUGGGCACUCUGUAAUCCUUAAUCAUCUCAAGAAUUUGACUGUAUGUCUUGUCUCACUCAAAGUAUAAGUACUCCACUUCUCUGCUUUGUGGGUCCAAAAAUUCGUUCUACUACAACAAUGGAACCUAUAAUAACCAUCCUCAGGCACUACAUCAACAUACAAAUGCAAAGGGGAAAUGUCCAUAGCUCCUAUGAUGUUCAGACAAUCUAUCCUUUGAAUCUUUUCCAAGUUCAGAACUUCACAUCUUUAGAAAAAUCCUUUUUUCAUCAAAUAACAGCAGCAUAAAUAAUAAUGAAUCUCAUAACCAUGGUUUAAGUCUCUAUAUUUUAACUCAAAAUACCUCUACAAAUUCAUAACUUUACGGACUUUCAUAACAAUAAAUUAUGUCCGUGAUUUCCAAGUCAUU